GUGGACCCUGUGCCUCAGCUCCUC
rnacentral:siRNA from 1 species